UCCCCGGUGGCUCAUAGGGUAAAAGCACCUGCCUGCAAUGCGGGAGACCCGGGUUCGAUCCCUGGGUUGGGAA
rfam:TPA: Bos taurus chromosome 2, whole genome shotgun sequence.